rnacentral:rRNA from 1 species
UACGGAGGGUGCUAGCGUUGUUCGGAAUUACUGGGCGUAAAGCGUGCGUAGGUGGUUUGUUAAGUCUGUUGUGAAAGCCCCGGGCUCAACCUGGGAAUGGCAAUGGAUACUGGCAAGCUAGAGUGCGGUAGAGGGUAGUGGAAUUCCCGGUGUAGCGGUGAAAUGCGUAGAGAUCGGGAGGAACACCAGUGGCGAAGGCGGCUACCUGGACCAGCACUGACACUGAGGCACGAAAGCGUGGGGAGCAAACAGG